CUUUAAAUGAGAAACGGUAACACGCUUUGCUUGGUGCAAUCGCGUCUGUUUGCACGAUUCUUGAAUUAUACUCUGCAUGAACAAUUCCAACGCUUUCGACAUAAUAACCGGAGUAACUUGAGCGACCUUUCCAACGUCCUGGUCUGCUUGCAUAAUCUUUUUUAUACGAGCAACAGGAAAUCUGCUUUUCCAGUACGUAGCAGGAUUUGGUUUAGUUUCACUAUCAUUAUUAUUUGUUGGAUCACCCAUUAUAAGAAGCAGAAUUAACAAGAUAAUUCGAUAUUAAAGUCAAUAGUAAGUUGGCGUGUAAAUGAUUGUUUCGGAAAUGAAUCGCUUGAAGGAGCUGGUAAGUAAGGUAGUAACGAAAACGUAUAUUACUACCUCUAUUGAGACUGUCUGUCAAGUUUUUAAAAAAAUUUUUUUUCUAAUUUGUCGAAUUUGAGAAGUUAAAGUAAAAAUCUUCUAGUGCCUAACAGCGGAUCUUAGUAUUCUUUAUAACAAGGUAGUGGUGAAGGACUCGUUUAAAAGCAGAAUUUUAUGUAGGUCGCGGAAAGCAAUAAUUCGGAAUCACAAGCGACUAACUUCCAGGAAAUAUAGCAAAGAAACUCGGUAAAUAUUAAUUUGGUUUUCUUUUAGUCGCCAUACUUGCCAAGUAUUUUGCUCAAUAUUCCAAAUGAAGGCAA